CGGUGAAUACGUUCCCGGACCUUGUACACACCGCCCGUCAAGCCAUGGAAGCUGGGUGUACCUAAAGUCGGUAACAGCAAGGAGCCGCCUAGGGUAAAACUAGUAACUGGGGCU
rnacentral:rRNA from 1 species